rnacentral:rRNA from 1 species
AGCGAACGCUGGCGGCAGGCCUAACACAUGCAAGUCGAACGAACAUUCCGGGGAUAGUGGCGGCUGGGGGUGUAACACGUGGGAACGUGCCCUUAGGUUUGGAAUACCUCAGGGACACGUGUGCUAACACCGAACGGGCCCUACUGGGGAACGAUUUAUUGACUUUAGGGGGUCCAUUGUCUGAUUAGCUAUUUGGUUGAGGUAAUGGUGCACCAAGGCGACGAUAAGUAGCUGGUCAGAGAGGAGGCGCAGCCACAUUGGGACUGAGACACGGCCCAGACUCCUACGGGAGGGGGCAGUGGGGAAUCUUGCGCAAGGGGCGAAAGCCUGACGCAGCCAUGCCGCGUGAAUGAUGAAGGUCUUAGGAUAGUAAAAUUCUUUCAACGGGGACGAUAAUGACGGUACCCGGAGAAGAAGCCCCGGCUAACUUCGUG